rnacentral:rRNA from 1 species
CCUACGGGAGGCAGCAGUGGGGGAUAUUGCACAAUGGGCGAAAGCCUGAUGCAGCAACGCCGCGUGAGGGAGGACGGUCUUCGGAUUGUAAACCUCUGUCUUUGGUGACGAACAGAUGGCGGUAGCCAAGGAGGAAGCCACGGCUAACUACGUGCCAGCAGCCGCGGUAAUA